rnacentral:lncRNA from 1 species
AAUUUUCAAACUGUUAUAGGCUGACACAUGACAAAUAAUCUGAAAUCAUUCACAACUUAAUUCAUUACAUAAUGUGUGAAUUGCCAUUUUCUCUAUGACAGUAUGAAACGAACAACAUCUCGUGGUCGAUGACUUGUUUCCCCAAUAGGCUCCUCUGCCAAAUACUCUUCCUGGCUUUGAAUGAUGCGCUUUCUCGUACCCCUUGCCAUGUGCGCUGGACAGACCAAAAAUUUAUCAACAUAGAAAGAGACAUAGAUUGACCAACAUAGGGAAAAAAAUUAUCAACAGCUCAUGAAACAUCUUUUCAGCAGUAUUGUGCUUACUUCAGUAAUGGAUGUACAGAGGCUACUAUUUUGUAGAAAGGCCACAUACACUAGCAGUUAAUAUAUCCACAAAUACACUAGCGGUUGAGUGAUUCUUACAUAAACAAUUUGACAAUUAUGUUGGCAUUUUCACAAGCACCUAACGUGCACAGAUCAGGCUACAUAUGGAGACUUGGCAUCCAAUGAGAGAUUAAAAAAGAUUUGUAAUGAAUAGAAACACGCAGCUAGAGGGAAUCACGAAUCGGUCAAAAAAUUCAAUCAUGAAGAGCACAAUAUCACGCAGGGUAGAGGGAAUCACGAACUUGGUUCCUCCGAUCUGUUGUCGCACCCCUAAUCUAGGAAAGAAAAAACGAAGCUGGAGGUGGGAGAAGUUGCACGAGGAAUGGGGGCGGCGAUCAUGGAAGUUUCAGUGCACAAACAGUUCUGUAAUCAGUUUGUGUGGUGUCGAACUAAAAAUUCAGUUUCAGUGCACAAAAUGACUGUGUCGAAGUGAUAAUUCCAUUUCUGUGGCAUCGAUUGUGUGUGUCAGAGAUGCAAUGUCUUAGUGUCGUAGUGUGCAUAGAGGAAGGUGGAUAUUGUUUACCUGCGAGAGAAACUUCU